UACGAAGGGGGGCUAGCGUUGUUCGGAUUUACUGGGCGUAAAGCGCACGUAGGCGGAUCGAUCAGUCAGGGGUGAAAUCCCAGAGCUCAACUCUGGAACUGCCUUUGAUACUGUCGAUCUGGAGUAUGGAAGAGGUGAGUGGAAUUCCGAGUGUAGAGGUGAAAUUCGUAGAUAUUCGGAGGAACACCAGUGGCGAAGGCGGCUCACUGGUCCAUUACUGACGCUGGAGGUGCGAAAGCGUGGGGAGCAAACAGG
rnacentral:rRNA from 1 species